rnacentral:rRNA from 1 species
GACGAACGCUGGCGGCGUGCUUAACACAUGCAAGUCGAACGGAAAGGCCCUGCUUUUGUGGGGUGCUCGAGAGGCGAACGGGUGAGUAACACGUGAGUAACCUGCCCUUGACUUUGGGAUAAAUUCAGGAAACAGGGGCUAAUACCGGAUAGGAGCUACUGCUGCAUGGUGGGGGUUGGAAAGAUUCGGCGGUUGGGGAUCGGCUCGCGGCUUAUCAGCUUGUUGGUGAGGUAGUGGCUUACCAAGUCUGUGACGGAUAGCCGGCCUGAGAGGGUGACCGGCGACAUUGGGACUAAGAGACGGACCAGACUGGUACGUGAGGCAGCAGUGGGGAGUAUUGCGGAAUGGGCGGAAGCCAGAUGCAGCAACGCCGCGAGCGGGAUACUGGGUUUCGGGUGGUAAACCGCUGUCGACGGUGACAAGGCGGUAGUGACGGUAAUGGGUAAGGAAGCACCGGCUAACUACGUG